CAUCAGCGAGAUAGACAAAUUGAUCGGAUCUUGUAAGAAAGUACUUCAGCUAUUAAACCCAAUCCUCCUCAUAACACCCUUUAAAUUUCCAGCUACCAUAUGCUACUUUAAAAUCGAUAAACUGAUGAGAUUUUGGUAUUCCAGUUACAGCAUUAGAUGGACACAUUUCAUGAAUGUGAUAAAAAAUUUGAACCCUCUUCUUGAUGGGUCCUAUCCAAGGGUGGAGGGCGGCUGUCAAAUGGGAGUAAAAUUAAAAAGCCGCCAACCUAAGUCCAGAACCAGUUUUAAGGCUUAACGCGGAAAAGUAAAAACUAUUAUUCGCAAAAUUCCAGGUAAUCAAUGCACUUGUAAGAUUUUGUUUGCAAGCAGUUAUUUGCUACGUGCUACUGCAGUGCGCUGUUGGCAAUUUGAUCAGCAAAUUCGGCUUAAUUCCCAAAAUGGAUGUUUUCUAGAAAAUUGAUUACGCCUUCACCAUUGUUUGGUCGGAAUUUUGUAUGGUUGUUUACUUUUUAGAACCAGCGACACGUUGGGGUAGCAGUAAAUAGCCGCCAGUUCCACCCUUGUGCGCGCAUCGUUGACAUUU